rnacentral:rRNA from 1 species
GACGAACGCUGGCGGCGUGCCUAAUACAUGCAAGUCGAACGCACCGUUUAUACCUUCUCUUGCUACACCAUAUACUGUGAGUUACGAACGGGUUAGUAACGCGUAGGUAACCUGCCUGGUAGCGUGGGAUAACUAUUUGUAACGAUAGCUAAUACCGCAUAAUAUUGAUUAUUCCAUGAUAAUUUAUUGAAAGUUGCAAUUUCACCACUACCAGAUGCACCUGCGUUUUAUUAGCUAGUAGGUGAGGUAACGGCUCACCUAGGCGAGGUUACAUAGCCGACCUGAGAGGGUGAUAGGCAACACUGGGACUGGGACACGGCCCAGACUACUACGGGAGGCAGAAGGAGGGAAUCUUCGGGAAUGGAAGAAAGUCUGACCGAGCAACGCCGCGUGAGUGAAGAAGGUUGUAGGAUCGUAAAGCUCUGUUGUAAGAGAAGAACGGGUGUGAGAGUGGAAAGUUCACACUGUGACGGUAUCGUAACAGAAAGGGACGGCUAACUACGUG